rnacentral:rRNA from 1 species
UACGUAGGGUGCGAGCGUUAAUCGGAAUUACUGGGCGUAAAGCGUGCGUAGGCGGUUCGUUAAGUUCGUUGUGAAAGCCCCGGGCUCAACCUGGGAAUGGCAAUGGAAACUGGCGGGCUGGAGUAUGGCAGAGGGGGGUGGGAAUUCCGCGUGUAGCAGUGAAAUGCGUAGAGAUGCGGAGGAACACCGAUGGCGAAGGCAGCCCCCUGGGCCAAUACUGACGCUCGAGGCACGAAAGCGUGGGGAGCAAACAGG